ACCAGGAUGGCUGAGUGGUUAAGGCAUUGGACUUAAGAUCCAAUGGGUGUGUGUGUGGGUUCAAGCCCCACUCCUGGUA